UACGGGGGAUGCAAGCGUUAUCCGGAAUCAUUGGGCGUAAAGCGCCUGUAGGUUGUUUAAUAAGUCUGUUGUUAAAGCCUAGGGCUUAACCCUAGAAAAGCAAUGGAAACUAAUAGACUAGAGUAUGGCAGGGGUAGAGGGAAUUUCUAGUGUAGCGGUGAAAUGCGUAGAUAUUAGAAAGAACACCAGUGGCGAAAGCGCUCUACUGGACCAUUACUGACACUCAGAGGCGAAAGCUAGGGUAGCAAAAGGGAUUAGAUACCCCUGUAGUCCUAGCCGUAAACGAUGGAUACUAGAUGUUGUGUUUAUUUCACAGUAUCGCAGCUAACGCGUUAAGUAUCCCGCCUGGGGAGUACGCUCGCAAGGGUG
rnacentral:rRNA from 1 species